rnacentral:rRNA from 1 species
GAUGAACGCUGGCGGCGUGCUUAACACAUGCAAGUCGAACGGUAAGGCCCUUCGGGGUACACGAGUGGCGAACGGGUGAGUAACACGUGGGUGAUCUGCCCUGCACUUCGGGAUAAGCCUGGGAAACUGGGUCUAAUACCGGAUAGGACCACUGCCUGCAUGGGUGGUGGUGGAAAGCUUUUGCGGUGUGGGAUGGGCCCGCGGCCUAUCAGCUUGUUGGUGGGGUGAUGGCCUACCAAGGCGACGACGGGUAGCCGGCCUGAGAGGGUGACCGGCCACACUGGGACUGAGAUACGGCCCAGACUCCUACGGGAGGCAGCAGUGGGGAAUAUUGCACAAUGGGCGCAAGCCUGAUGCAGCGACGCCGCGUGAGGGAUGACGGCCUUCGGGUUGUAAACCUCUUUCAGCACCGACGAAGCGCAAGUGACGGUAGGUGCAGAAGAAGGACCGGCCAACUACGUGCCAGCCGCCGCGGUAA